AGGGUUUGAUCAUGGCUCAGGAUGAACGCUGGCGGCGUGCUUAACACAUGCAAGUCGAACGAAGCACCUUAAACGGAUCUCUUCGGAAUGAAGUUUUUGGUGACUGAGUGGCGGACGGGUGAGUAACGCGUGGGUAACCUGCCUCAUACAGGGGGAUAACAGUUAGAAAUGACUGCUAAUACCGCAUAAGCGCACAGUGUCGCAUGACACGGUGUGAAAAGCUCCGGUGGUAUGAGAUGGACCCGCGUCUGAUUAGCUGGUUGGCGGGGUAACGGCCCACCAAGGCGACGAUCAGUAGCCGACCUGAGAGGGUGAUCGGCCACAUUGGGACUGAGACACGGCCCAA
rnacentral:rRNA from 1 species